rnacentral:rRNA from 1 species
CGUAAUAAUAGAAACUAACCAGGAUUCCCUUAGUAACGGCGAGUGAACUGGGAUACCAACAAAAUACAUGUGCCUCGCGCGCAUGAUUUAGCCCGUCGAUACUAUCCUAGCAUAUUACCGGUCUCGGCCGGUAACCCAAUAUGCGGGAAUUGUAGCAUCGUAAUAAAAAUAAAAUAUAUACACGCACACACACCCACCGCGUACAUUCUUGUAAACACACAGCGUCUCCGCGUUGGAAAGCAAGUUUAUAUCCUCCUUGGAUAUGCCAUAGAGUGUGACAGCCACGUUUCACUCAUAACCGUACGCACACACACACGCCCCGUGCACUAAUAUAUAUUUCUAUAACCUGAGUCGAGUUAUUU